rnacentral:rRNA from 1 species
ACUCAAAUGAAUAGACGGGGGCCCGCACAAGCGGUGGAGUAUGUGGCUUAAUUCGAUGCAACGCGAAGAACCUUACCAGGUCUUGACAUGCUUUGGACCGGCGCUGAAAGGCGUCUUUCCCGCAAGGGACCGGAGCACAGGUGCUGCAUGGCUGUCGUCAGCUCGUGUCGUGAGAUGUUGCGUUAAGUCGCGCAACGAGCGCAACCCCUGUCCUUAGUUGCCAUCAUUCAGUUGGGCACUCUAGGGAGACAAACCCUCUUUGAGGGUGGGAAGGUGGGGAUGACGUCAAGUCAGGAUGGCCCUUACGACCUGGGCUGCACACGUACUACAAUGCUCGGCACAGAGGGAUGCAAUACCGCGAGGUGGAGCAAAUCCUCAAAACCGAGCCCAGUUCAGAUUGAAGUCUGCAACUCGACUUCAUGAAGUUGGAAUCGCUAGUAAUGGCGUAUCAGCUACGACGCCGUGAAUACGUUCCCGGGCCUUGUACACACCGCCCGU